rnacentral:rRNA from 1 species
GUGAGUAACACGUGGGUGAUCUGCCUUGCACUUCGGGAUAAGCCUGGGAAACUGGGUCUAAUACCGGAUAUGACCAUGGAAUGCAUGUUCUGUGGUGGAAAGAUUUAUCGGUGCGAGAUGGGCCCGCGGCCUAUCAGCUUGUUGGUGAGGUAACGGCUCACCAAGGCGACGACGGGUAGCCGACCUGAGAGGGUGACCGGCCACACUGGGACUGAGACACGGCCCAGACUCCUACGGGAGGCAGCAGUGGGGAAUAUUGCACAAUGGGCGAAAGCCUGAUGCAGCGACGCCGCGUGCGGGAUGACGGCCUUCGGGUUGUAAACCGCUUUUGACAGGGACGAAGCGCAAGUGACUGUACCUGUAGAAUAAGGACCGGCCAACUACGUGCCAGCAGCCGCGGUAAUACGUAGGGUCCGAGCGUUGUCCGGAAUUACUGGGCGUAAAGAGCUUGUAGGCGGUUCGUCGCGUCGUUUGUGAAAACUUGGGGCUCAACCUUAAGCUUGCAGGCGAUACGGGCGGACUAGAGUACUUCAGGGGAGACUGGAAUUCCUGGUGUAGCGGUGAAAUGCGCAGAUAUCAGGAGGAACACCGGUGGCGAAGGCGGGUCUCUGGGAAGUAACUGACGCUGAGAAGCGAAAGCAUGGGUAGCAAACAGGAUUAGAUACCCUGGUAGUCCAUGCCGUAAACGGUG